rnacentral:rRNA from 1 species
UACGAGAGGCCCAAACGUUAUUCGGAAUUACUGGGCUUAAAGAGUUCGUAGGCGGUAUGAAAAGUAGGGUGUGAAAGCCCCCGGCUCAACUGGGGAGGGUCACGCGAUACUGCUCGACUCGAAGGCAGGAGAGGGAAGUGGAAUUCCCGGUGUAGUGGUGAAAUGACGUAGAGAUCGGCAGGAACACCCAGGGGAAACCAGUC